rnacentral:rRNA from 1 species
AUUGAACGCUGGCGGCAGGCCUAACACAUGCAAGUCGAACGAGUGGCGGACGGGUGAGUAAUGUCUGGGAAACUGCCUGAUGGAGGGGGAUAACUACUGGAAACGGUGGCUAAUACCGCAUACCAUCAGAUGUGCCCAGAUGUGAUUAGCUUGUAGGUGGGGUAAAGGCUCACCUAGGCGACGAUCCCUAGCUGGUCUGAGAGGAUGACCAGCCACCCUGGAACUGAGACACGGUCCAGACUCCUACGUGAGGCAGCAGUGGGGAAUAUUGCACAAUGGGCGCAAGCCUGAUGCAGCCAUGCCGCGUGUAUGAAGAAGGCCUUCGGGUUGUAAAGUACUUUCAGCGGGGAGGCGUUACCCGCAGAAGAAGCACCGGCUAACUCCGUGCCAGCAGCCGCGGUAAUUC